rnacentral:rRNA from 1 species
GACGAACGCUGGCGGCGUGCCUAAUACACGCAAGUCGAGCGGGGAUACUGAUGGAAGUCCUUCGGGACGGAAAUCUUUAUCCUAGCGGCGGACGGGUGAGUAACGCGUAGGAAACCUGCCCUCGAGUCCGGGAUAACCCGGGGAGACCCGGGCUAAUACCGGAUGCGGCCUGCGAACCGCAUGGUUUGUUGGUCAAAGAUUUUAUCGCUCGAGGAUGGUCCUGCGUCCCAUUAGCUAGUUGGUGAGGUAACGGCUCACCAAGGCGACGAUGGGUAGCCGGCCUGAGAGGGUGUACGGCCACACUGGCACUGAGACACGGGCCAGACUCCUACGGGAGGCAGCAGUAGGGAAUCUUCCGCAAUGGACGAAAGUCUGACGGAGCGACGCCGCGUGAGUGAUGAAGGUCUUCGGAUCGUAAAACUCUGUUGUUAGGGAAGAACAAGUAUAAGGCGAAUAACCUUAUACCUUGACGGUACCUAACCAGAAAGCCCCGGCUAACUACGUGCCAGCAGCCGCGGUAAUACGUAGGGGGCGAGCGUUGUCCGGAAUUAUUGGGCGUAAAGGGUGCGUAGGCGGUCUCUUAAGUCUGAUGUGAAAGCCCACGGCUUAACCGUGGAGGGUCAUUGGAAACUGGGAGACUUGAGUGCAGAAGAGGAGAGUGGAAUUCCAUGUGUAGCGGUGAAAUGCGUAGAGAUAUGGAGGAACACCAGUGGCGAAGGCGACUCUCUGGUCUGUAACUGACGCUGAGGCACGAAAGCGUGGGGAGCAAACAGGAUUAGAUACCCUGGUAGUCCACGCCGUAAACGAUGAGUGCUAGGUGUUAGGGGGUUUCCACCCCUUAGUGCUGCAGUUAACGCAUUAAGCACUCCGCCUGGGGAGUACGGCCGCAAGGCUGAAACUCAAAGAAUUGACGGGGGCCGCACAGCGGUGGAGCAUGUGGUUUAUUCGAAGCACGCGAAGACCUUACCAGGUCUUGACUNCCGUUGACGCUAUGGAACU